rnacentral:rRNA from 1 species
CCUACGGGAGGCAGCAGUGGGGGAUAUUGCACAAUGGGGGAAACCCUGAUGCAGCGACGCCGCGUGGGUGAGGAAGUGUUUCGGUGUGUAAAGCUCUAUCAGCAGGGAAGAAAAUGACGGUACCUGAGUAAGAAGCCCCGGCUAACUACGUGCCAGCAGCCGCGGUAAUCCGUAGGGGGCAAGCGUUAUCCGGAUUUACUGGGUGUAAAGGGGGCGUAGACGGCAAUGCAAGCCUGGAGUGAAAGGCGGGGGCCCAACCCCCGGACUGCUCUGGAAACUGCACGGCUGGAGUGCAGGAGAGGUAAGCGGAAUUCCUGGUGUAGCGGUGAAAUGCGUAGAUAUCAGGAGGAACACCAGUGGCGAAGGCGGCUUACUGGACUGCAACUGACGUUGAGGCUCGAAAGCGUGGGGAGCAAACAGGAUUAGAUACCCCAGUAGUC